UCCACCAGGUUGAUUCUGCCUGACGUGGACGCUUGCCUCGAAGAUUAAGCCAUGCAAGUCUGUGAAUCUUUAUAGAGAAACAGUGAACGGCUCAGUAUAACACGUCUAUCUACCCAUCGUGUGAACAUAACCAUGGUAAACUAUGGCUAAAUUGAUGGAUGAGGAUGUGACCUAUCAGCUUGACGGUACGGUAAGUGCGUACCGAGGCGAUAACGGGUAACGGGGAAUAUGGGUUUUAUUCCGGAGAGGGAGCCUGAGAGAUGGCUGCCACGUCCAAGGACGGCAGCAGGCGCGAAACUUACCCAAUGAACAUUGAGGUAGUUACGAGGCGUAGCAUUUAUAUGUGGUAUGUUUAAAUAGCAUAUCGAAGUAUUGGAGGGCAAGUCUGGUGCCAGCAGCCGCGGUAAUACCAGCUCCAAUAGCGUCUGUGUUUAUUGCUGNGGUUAAAACGUGCGUAGUCUGGUUAAUGGCCUGAAGGUAACAUGCAUUUUCAUAGUGUAGGAUAUUUCAGGAACUUAUGCCUUGAGANAGGGAAGGGGUAAUGUUAUUUGGUAGCGAGAGGUGACAAUCGAUGACCUACCAAGGAGCGACAGAGGCGAAAGCGAUUACCAAUAACUGAUCUGACGAUCAAGCACGUGAGCAGGAGUAUCGAAGAGGAUUAGAGACCCACGUAGUUCCUUGCAGUCAACGAUGCCAACGCUGUGGUGAUACUUGUCAUUGCAGAGGCGAAAGCUAGUGUAUGGGCUCCGGGGAUANUACGGACGCAAGUUUGAAACUUGAAGAAAUUGACGGAAGGACACCACAAGGAGUGGAGUGUGCNGGUUAAUUUGACUCAACGCGGGAAAACUUACCCGGGCAGGCAAUUGUCGUGAGAAGCUAUUGUAGCUGAUGAUAUUGCGCGUGGUGCAUGGCCGUUCUUAACACGUGGAGUGAUCUGUCUGGUCAAAUCUGAUAACGCGUGAGAGGUGAGUAUUUGGUUGAGAGACCAAAUAGACGGUGUCUGUAAAGACAAGGAAGCGACACCCAAUAACAGGUCUGUGAUGCCCGUAGAUGUCCGGGGCUCCACGCGCACUACAAUGGAUGGUAGUUUUUAUAAGCGGUAACCAUUCGUAGUUGGGAUUGACAUAUGUAAUUAUGUCAUGAACGUGGAAUUCCUAGUAGUUGGUAGUCACUAACGACUAACGAAUGUGUCCCUGUUCUUUGUACACACCGCCCGUCGUUAUCUAAGAUGGAAGUGCGGGUGAAGAUGUGAGUGUAGACCAAUGGGAGGAUCAGUAUACUUGUGUGAGUUGAUUACGCUUGUGUAUUGUGACUGUUGUUAGCAUGAGCAUAAGAACCCGUGCAACUAGAUUGGAUGUAAGUCGUAACAAGGUAANCAUNNNNNNNNNNNNNNNNNNNNNNNNN
rnacentral:rRNA from 1 species